rnacentral:rRNA from 1 species
GACGAACGCUGGCGGCGUGCCUAAUACAUGCAAGUGGGACGCAAGGAAACACACUGUGCUUGCACACCGUGUUUUCUUGAGUCGCGAACGGGUGAGUAACGCGUAGGUAACCUGCCUAUUAGCGGGGGAUAACUAUUGGAAACGAUAGCUAAUACCGCAUAAUAUUAAUUAUUGCAUGAUAAUUGAUUGAAAGAUGCAAGCGCAUCACUAGUAGAUGGACCUGCGUUGUAUUAGCUAGUUGGUAAGGUAAGAGCUUACCAAGGCGACGAUACAUAGCCGACCUGAGAGGGUGAUCGGCCACACUGGGACUGAGACACGGCCCAGACUCCUACGGGAGGCAGCAGUAGGGAAUCUUCGGCAAUGGACGAAAGUCUGACCGAGCAACGCCGCGUGAGUGAAGAAGGUUUUCGGAUCGUAAAGCUCUGUUGUAAGUCAAGAACGUGUGUGAGAGUGGAAAGUUCACACAGUGACGGAGCUACCAGA